CAGGUGCUGCAUGGCUGUCGUCAGCUCGUGUCGUGAGAUGUUCGGUUAAGUCCGCUAACGAGCGCAACCCUCGCUGUGUGUUAUAUGUGUCACACAGGACUGCUGGUAUUAAGCCGGAGGAAGGUGGGGACGACGUCAAGUCAGCAUGACCUCUAUAUCCAGGGCUACACACACGCUACAAUGGUCAGUACAAUGGGUUGCCAAGCCGCGAGGCGGAGCCAAUCCUAAAAAGCUGGCCUCAGUUCAGAUUGCAGUCUGAAACUCGACUGCAUGAAGUCGGAGUUGCUAGUAAACGCAGGUCAGCUAUACUGCGUUGAAUACGUUCCCGGGGCUU
rnacentral:rRNA from 1 species